CAGCAGCCGCGGGAAUACGUAGGUCCCGAGCGUUGUCCGGAUUUAUUGGGCGUAAAGGGCUCGCAGGCGGUUUCUUAAGUCUGAUGUGAAAGCCCCCGGCUCAACCGGGGAGGGUCAUUGGAAACUGGGAAACUUGAGUGCAGAAGAGGAGAGUGGAAUUCCACGUGUAGCGGUGAAAUGCGUAGAGAUGUGGAGGAACACCAGUGGCGAAGGCGACUCUCUGGUCUGUAACUGACGCUGAGGAGCGAAAGCGUGGGGAGCGAACAGGAUUAGAUACCCCCGUAGUCCCUGUCUCUUAUAC
rnacentral:rRNA from 1 species